rnacentral:rRNA from 1 species
UGGGGAAUAUUGCACAAUGGACGGAAGUCUGAUGCAGCAACGCCGCGUGCGGGAUGACGGCCUUCGGGUUGUAAACCGCUUUUUCUCAUGACGAAGUUUUUUGACGGUAGUGGGGGAAGAAGCACCGGCUAACUACGUGCCAGCAGCCGCGGUGAUACGUAGGGUGCGAGCGUUGUCCGGAAUUAUUGGGCGUAAAGAGCUUGUAGGCGGUUUGUCGCGUCGAUAGUGCAAACUCAGUGCUUAACGCUGAGCCUGCUGUUGAUACGGGCAGACUAGAGGAAGGUAGGGGGGUAUGGAAUUCCCGGUGGAGCGGUGGAAUGCGGAGAGAUCGGGAGGAACACCGGUGGCGAAGGCGGUUCUCUGGGCCUUUCCUGACGCUGAGAAGCGAAAGCGUGGGGAGCGAACAGG